UUUUUUUUUUUUUUUGAAAACAUAUUCUCUUGUUUUAUUGUCAUGUGUCGUUAAUUGAUCCUAUGUUGUCCUGUCUCUCACACCAAAUGUAGCCUAUUCUACAUUGUUUGUGAACAUUGAAAAAUGUAAUGCAAUUUGUGCAAGGUUUCUUAAAUGUUUUGGACCUUUUCACAAGUUUCAUGAGCUAGGUUGACUUGGACAUUGGAUGAGACAUUGGACAAGAAAAUGGGUUAAGUCUAUUAGAAAGAUGUUUAUGCAUUGAGAUGUCAUAACUGAGAAAAAGAAAAAGAGAGAAAAAGAAAAUGAGAAUGCUAAAAGAACAUUAUUUUCUUAUUUGUAAAUACCGUGCCGGAGACUAGAGACUGGGGAGUAUGUGAGCAGAAUAUAAUUUCGUUAAUCUGUGAUGAAAUUGUGUUGUUUGUUCUUUUAUCUUUCCAUUUGUUUUAUUACUGUUGGACUGGGUAUAGAAUUAUGUCCCGAUGACUGGAGAAAUUAUAUCCUACGAUCCAUGUAGGCUGUUGAUAUGAAAUGGCAAGCGAAUAAACGAUAGAUAUAUAGACCAUUUCAGUUAUUAAUUAGUUUGGAAAAAAAAAAGGGGCUUGGUAGUCAUAUUUUUAUGCAACCUACUUAUACUUAUAUGUCUAUUUAUUAUUGGCUUGCCAUUGUAGGCUAUCGUACAUGGAAUCAUGGUGAUAGCCAAUAAUUUCUCCAAUGGCUGGGCCAAAAACUAGUUUGCUCCUCUUUCAUCUCCACUCCCUCCCUCAAACGAAAAGAAAAGGGUGAAUUUUUUCUAAACUAAAUAUGACCAAAUUGCUACUUUAUAAUUACUUUUCAAACAUUUUUAUCUGUUUGUUUCUUCCACAAAUGCAUCAUACUUGCUUUUUUUGUUAUUGGUUGAGAUCUUAUUUAAAUAUGUUUCCUUCUUUUAGUGUAUGGGAACUUGCCAUCUGAAA
rnacentral:misc_RNA from 1 species